AAGUCGUAACAAGGUCUCCGUAGGUGAACCUGCGGAGGGAUCAUUACAGAGAACAUCGCCCUCACGGGUGACUCUCCAACCCUAUGUUAUACAACCGUUUGUUGGCUUUGGCGAUGACCGCCAUCCGGCCGCUGGCUUCGGCUAGCGAGUGCUCGCCAGAGGGACCCCAAACUCUGAAUAUUAAUGUCGUCUGAGUACUAUAUAAUAGUUAAAA
rnacentral:misc_RNA from 1 species